GGGGGGGGGGGGGGGGGGGGGGGGGGGGGGCGGGGCGGGGGGGGGCGCGGGCUUCGGGCUGGCGGCGCGUGGCGGGCGGGUGCGUGCUGCAUCGGAACGUGCCCAGUAGUGGGGGGUAGCUCGGCGACAGCCGGGUUAAUACCGCCUGGGCCCUGAUGUUGAACGGGGUGGAUCUUCGGGCCUCGCGCUAUUGGCGGUGCCGAUGGCAGGUUAGCUAGUUGGUGGGGUCAAGGCCUACCAAGCCGACGAUCUGUAGCUGGUCUGAGAGGACGACCAGCCACACUGGGACGGAGACACGGCCCAGACGCCUACGGGAGGCAGCAGUGGGGAAUUUUGGACAAUGGGCGAAAGCCUGAUCCAGCAAUGCCGCGUGUGUGAUGAAGGCCUUCGGGUUGUAAAGCACUUUUGGCGGGAACGAAAAGGACUGUGCCAAUACCACGGUUCGAUGACGGUACACGCAGAAUAAGCACCGGCUAACUACGUG
rnacentral:rRNA from 1 species